UACGGGAGGCAGCAGUGGGGAAUAUUGCACAAUGGGCGAAAGCCUGAUGCAGCUAUGCCGCGUGUAUGAAGAAGGCCUUAGGGUUGUAAAGUACUUUCAUCGGGGAGGAAAAAACAAAACUAAUAAUUUUAUUUCUUGACGUUACCCGAAAAAGAAGCACCGGCUAACUCCGUGCCAGCAGCCGCGGUAAUACGGAGGGUGCUAGCGUUAAUCAGAAUUACUGGGCGUAAAGAGCACGUAGGUGGUUUUUUAAGUUAGAUGUGAAAUCCCUGGGCUUAACCUAGGAACUGCAUUUUGAAACUGAAAUACUAGAGUAUCGUAGAGGGAGGUAGAAUUCUAGGUGUAGCGGUGAAAUGCGUAGAUAUCUGGAGGAAUACCUGUGGCGAAAGCGGCCUCCUAAACGAAUACUGACACUGAGGGUGCGAAAGCGUGGGGAGCAAACAGGGAUUAGAUACC
rnacentral:rRNA from 1 species